AUCAAAAGUAACAAGAAAUAAGCAAAGAAUACAUUCUGCCUUGGUUAUUAUCUAUAAUUGCUAAAAUGAAAGCAAAAGAGUGUUGCAGAUCCUGAGACUGGGCCAAGCUCGGAUUACAGCUGGUCUGAGCUACAGGCACUAGUAUCAGGGCCACUACUGAAGGGAGAAAUGAUACUGACACCACAGUGAAGAUAUGUAUAUAUUACAUAUGUUACAUUGUGGGCUUCCCCGAUGGCGCUAGUGGUAAAGCACCCACCUGCCAGUGCAGGAGACAUAAGAAAUGUGGAUUCGAUCCCUGGGUUGGGAAGAUCGCCUGGAGGAAUGGCAUGGCAGCCCACUCCAGUAUUCUUGCCUGGAGAAUCGUAUGGCUAGAGGAGCCUGAUUGGCUACAGUCCGUAGGGUCACAAAGAGUUGGACACAACUGAACAACUUAGUGCACAGCCACUAUGGAGAACAGGAUGGAGGUUCCUUAACAAACUAAAAAUAGAGCUGCCAUAUGACCCUGCAGCCCCACUUCUGGACAUACAUCUGGAGAAAAAUAUGAUCAGAAAGGAUACAUGCACCUCAGUGUUCACUGAAGCACGUUCUUACAAUAACCAAGACAUGGCAGCAACCUAAAUGUCCACCAACAGACAGAUGGAUAAAGAAGAUGUGGGAAAUAUAUACAAUGGAAUAAGACUCGGCCAUUAAAAAGGAAAUGAUGCCAUUUGCAGCAGAAUGGAUGGACCUAGGGAGAGUCAUACUGAAUGAAGUCAGUCAGACAGAGAAGGAGAAACAUUAUAGACGUCUCUUAUAUGUGGAAUCUAGAAAGAAAUGGUGCAAAUGAACUUUCAAAACAGAAAGAGACUCACAGGCUUAGAAAACACACUUACGGUUGCCUGGGGAAAGGGGUGGUUAGGGAGUGUGGGAAGGUUGUGUCCAGCGCUAUAUUCAAAAUGGAUAACCAAC
ensembl:lncRNA